UACGCUUUGAUGUUAGCGGCAAACGGGUGCGUAACACAUUGGUAAUCUACCGUCCAGUCGGAGAUAGGGGACCGAAAGGUGAGCUAAUUCCACGAUGGGCAUGCGGGGACAUAUGUCAUUCGCAUGUAAAGCGCUAAAACGCGCUGGAGGAGGAGCCUAUGGCCCAUCAGCUUGUUGGCGGGGUAAAAGCCCACCAAGGCUACGACGGGUAGGGGGUGUGAGAGCAUGGCCCCCCUCACUGGGACUGAGACACUGCCCAGACACCUACGGGUGGCUGCAGUUACGAAUAUUCCUCAAUGGCCGAAAGGCUGAAGGAGCGACGCCGCGUGCGGGAUGAAGGGCUUCGGCUUGUAAACCGCUUUUAUUUGGGAAGAACGAUGACGGUACCAAAUGAAUAAGAGGUUGCUAACUCUGUGCCAGCAGCAGCGGUAAUACAGAGACCUCAAACGUUAUCCGGAUUUAUUGGGCGUAAAGGGUCCGUAGGCGGCCAUGCGCGUCGUGGGUUAAAUGUUAGGGCUCAACUCUGACACCGCUCACGAUACGGCGUGGCUAGAGUCCGGGAGAGACACAUGGAAUUGCCGGUGUAGGGGUAAUAUCCGUUAAUAUCGGCAGGAACGCCAAAUGCGAAAGCAAUGUGCUGGAACGGUACUGACGCUCAGGAACGAAAGCGUGGGGAGCGAAAGGGAUUAGAUACCCCUGUAGUCCAAGCCCUAAACGAUGGAUGCUAGAUAUUGGGAGUAUCGACCCUCCCAGUGUCG
rnacentral:rRNA from 1 species